AUGAGCCGAUCCUGGUUGAGGGUGGGUCUGAACCCCAUGACAGGUGUCCUUCUAAGAGACACAAGAGGAGACACAGACACAGACACGGAGGAGAAGCCACGUGAACACAGAGGCACAGACAGAAGAGACGUGGCCACAAGCCCAGGGACGCCUGGAGCCCCAGAAGCUGGAAGAGGCAGGAAGGACCCUCCCCUGGAGCCUCUGGAGGGAGCACAGCCCUGCCCGGAUCUCAGGGGUCCUGUCCCUCCUGGAUCUCAGUGGCCCUGCCCCUCCUGGAUCUCAGUGGCCCUUCCCUGCCUAAAUCUCAGUGGCCCUGCCCUGCCUGGGUCUCAGUGGCCUGCCCUGCCUGGAUCUCAGUGGCCCUUCCCUGCCUGGAUCUCAGUGGCCCUGCCCUGCCUGGGUCUCAGUGGCCCUGCCCUGCCUGGAUCUCAGUGGUCCUGCCCUGCCUGGGUCUCAGCGGCCCUGCCCUGCCUGGAUCUCAGCGGCCCUGCCCUGCCUGCAUCUCAGGGGCCCUGCCCCUCCUGGAUGUCAGUGGCCUGCCCUGCCUGGUUCUCAGGGGCCCUGCCCCUCCUGGAUCUCAGUGGCCCUUCCCUGCCUGGAUCUCAGUGUCCCUGCCCUGCCUGGUUCUCAGGGGUCCUGCCCCUCCUGGAUCUCAGUGGUCCUGCCCCUCCUGGAUCUCAGUGGCCCUGCCCUGCCUGGAUCUCAGGGGUCCUGCCCUGCCUGGGUCUCAGCGGCCCUGCCCUGCCUGGAUCUCAGUGGCCCUGCCCUGCCUGGAUCUCAGUGGUCCUGCCCUGCCUGGGUCUCAGCGGCCCUGCCCUGCCUGGAUCUCAGCAGCCCUGCCCCCCCUGGAUCUCAGUGGUCCUGCGCCUCCUGGAUCUCAGCAGCCCUGUGCUGCCUGCAUCUCAGGGGCCCUGCCCCUCCUGGAUGUCAGUGGCCUUGCCCUGCCUGGUUCUCAGGGGCCCUGCCCCUCCUGGAUCUCAGUGGCCCUUCCCUGCCUGGAUCUCAGUGUCCCUGCCCUGCCGGGUCUCAGUGGCCCUGCCCUGCCUGGAUCUCAGUGUCCCUGCCCUGCCUGGUUCUCAGGGGUCCUGCCCUGCCUGGGUCUCAGUGGCCCUGCCCUGCCUGGGUCUCAGUGGCCCUUCCCUGCCUGGGUCUCAGUGGCCCUGCCCUGCCUGGAUCUCAGUGGCCCUGCCCCUCCUGGAUCUCAGCGGCCCUGCCCUGCCUGGUUCUCAGGGGCCCUGCCCCUCCUGGAUCUCAGCGGCCCUGCCCUGCCUGGAUCUCAGGGGCCCUGCCCUGCCUGGAUCUCAGUGGCCCUGCCCGCCUGGAUCUCAGUGGCCUGCCCUGCCUGGAUCUCAGGGGUCCUGCCUGCAUGGAUCUCAGCAGCCCUGCCCUGCCUGA
rnacentral:lncRNA from 1 species